UCGACCUGAGAUCAGGCAAGAACACCCGCUGAACUUAAGCAUAUCACUAAGCGGAGGAAAAGAAACUAACCAGGAUUCCCCUAGUAGCGGCGAGCGAACCGGGAAGAGCCCAACUUGAAAAUCUCCAGGCCUUGCCUGGCGAAUUGUAGUCUAUAGAAGCGCCCUCUGCGGCAGGUCGCGCCCAAGUCCCCUGGGAGGGGGCGUCAGAGAGGGUGAGAACCCCGUCGGCGCGCGCCUGUCCGCUCCACGAGGCGCUUUCGCAGAGUCGGGUUGUUUGGGAAUGCAGCCCAAAGCAGGUGGUAAAUCCCAUCUAAGGCUAAAUACUGACGGGAGACCGAUAGCGAACAAGUACCGUGAGGGAAAGAUGAAAAGAACUUUGAAAAGAGAGUUAAAAGUGCUUGAAAUUGUUGAGGGGCGAAGAGAUUGGAAGCCUCGGGUGCGCCCAGGCUUAUGCCGGCCUCACGGCCGGCUGGAUGUGCUGGGUGCUGGUCACCAUCCGGUUGGCCGGGCGGGACAAGCUUGGCCUUUGUGGGCCGCCCUUGCCACUUGGCCGACCAAGGAACAAAGGGCCCUCUUGAAUCCUUCCGGAACUGGCCCCUCAGGAUCUGGCGGAAGGCUCCAAU
rnacentral:rRNA from 1 species